UACAGAGGGUGCGAGCGUUAAUCGGAAUUACUGGGCGUAAAGGGCGCGUAGGUGGUUUAUUAAGAUUGAUGUGAAAUCCCUGGGCUUAACCUAGGAACUGCAUCGAUGACUGAUAGGCUGGAGUACUGUAGAGGGUAGUGGAAUUUCCGGUGUAGCGGUGGAAUGCGUAGAGAUCCGGAAGAACACCGGUGGCGAAGGCGAUUAGCUGGGCAGUUGCUGACACUGAGGCGCGACAGCGUGGGGAGCAAACAGG
rnacentral:rRNA from 1 species